rnacentral:lncRNA from 1 species
GGUCAGUCCCUGAGAAGAUGAGGUAUCUGUAACAGACUCUUAUGAGGAGCAGAAAUGGUGGCAGAGAGAACCCAGCUGCAGAGACUUUAUGGGGCAUGUGACUGCAGUGGUCCAGAUAAUUACAGCAUUGAGGAGACAGAGGUCAUAGUGGAGUCAGAAAAGUUCCCAAACUUAAGGGCUAUGAUCAGAAGUAUGCAAUCCUGUGCCUAUGUUCUUCAUGAGAAGAUCCCGAAACACUGUAUGUAUAUUAAUUCCAGCACUGCCU